CUUUACUGAGUGUCGUGGCGGGCCGGCACGUUUACUUUGAACAAAUUAGAGUGCUAAAAGCAGGCCUCACGCCUGAAUAUUGUGUGCAUGGAAUAAUAGAAUAGGACCUCGGUUCUAUUUUGUUGGUUUUCUGGACCAGAGGUAAUGAUUAAGAGGAACGGACGGGGGCAUUCGUAUUGAGACGUUAGAGGUGAAAUUCUUGGAUCGUCUCAAGACGGACAGAAGCGAAAGCAUUUGCCAAGAACGUUUUCAUUAAUUAAGAACGAAAGUUAGAGGUUCGAAGGCGAUCAGAUACCGCCCUAGUUCUAACCAUAAACGAUGCCAGCCAGCGAUCCGCCAAAGUUCCUCCGAUGACUUGGCGGGCAGCUUCCGGGAAACCAAAGCUUUUGGGUUCCGGGGGAAGUAUGGUUGCAAAGCUGAAACUUAAAGGAAUUGACGGAAGGGCACCACCAGGAGUGGAGCCUGCGGCUUAAUUUGACUCAACACGGGAAACCUCACCAGGUCCGGACACCGGAAGGAUUGACAGAUUGAGAGCUCUUUCUUGAUUCGGUGGGUGGUGGUGCAUGGCCGUUCUUAGUUGGUGGAACGAUUUGUCUGGUUAAUUCCGAUAACGAACGAGACUCUAGCCUGCUAACUAGCCGUUUCCGGCAUCAUAUGCUGCCGGCGGCAUAAAAACCUUCUUAGAGGGACAGGCGGCUUCUAGCCGCACGAGAUUGAGCAAUAACAGGUCUGUGAUGCCCUUAGAUGUCCUGGGCCGCACGCGCGCUACAAUGAAGGUAUCAACGUGUCUUCCCAGGCCGAACGGUCCGGGUAACCCGCUGAACCACCUUCGUGCUAGGGAUUGGGGCUUGCAAUUGCUCCCCAUGAACGAGGAAUUCCCAGUAAGCGCGAGUCAUAAGCUCGCGUUGAUUACGUCCCUGCCCUUUGUACACACCGCCCGUCGCUACUUCCGAUUGAAUGAUUUAGUGAGGUCUUCGGACUGGUGCGCGAUAGCAUUAUUUCAUAGUGCUGCCGAUGCUACUGGAAAGAUGACCAAACUUGAUCAUUUAGAGGAAGUAAAAGUCGUAAC
rnacentral:rRNA from 1 species